CCCUUCGGGGGCGGAUCAGUGGCGAACGGGUGAGUAACACGUGGGCAACCUGCCCCUAGCUCUGGGAUAACCCCGGGAAACCGGGGCUAAUACCGGAUAUGACCCUGAUGGACAUCUGUCGGGGUGGAAAGUUUUUCGGCUAGGGAUGGGCCCGCGGCCUAUCAGCUUGUUGGUGAGGUAACGGCCCACCAAGGCGACGACGGGUAGCCGGCCUGAGAGGGCGACCGGCCACACUGGGACUGAGACACGGCCCAG
rnacentral:rRNA from 1 species